rnacentral:rRNA from 1 species
GAUGAACGCUGGCGGCGUGCCUAACACAUGCAAGUCGAGCGAUUCUCUUCGGAGAAGAGCGGCGGACGGGUGAGUAACGCGUGGGUAACCUGCCCUGUACACACGGAUAACAUACCGAAAGGUAUGCUAAUACGGGAUAAUAUAUAAGAGUCGCAUGACUUUUAUAUCAAAGAUUUUUCGGUACAGGAUGGACCCGCGUCUGAUUAGCUUGUUGGCGGGGUAACGGCCCACCAAGGCGACGAUCAGUAGCCGACCUGAGAGGGUGAUCGGCCACAUUGGAACUGAGACACGGUCCAAACUCCUACGGGAGGCAGCAGUGGGGAAUAUUGCACAAUGGGCGCAAGCCUGAUGCAGCAACGCCGCGUGAGCGAUGAAGGCCUUCGGGUCGUAACGCUCUGUCCUCAAGGAAGAUAAUGACGGUACUGAGAGAGCCC